CAAUAGCGUAUAUUAAAGUUGUUGCAGUUAAAAAGCUCGUAGUUGGAUUUGUGGCGUACGGUGUGUUCCGGGCACUUGUUGUCUGAGUAACCUGCUGUUGCCAUCCUUGGGUGGAACCUGUGUGGCAUUAGGUUGUCGUGCAGGGGAUGCCCAUCAUUUACUGUGAAAAAAUUAGAGUGUUCAAAGCAGGCUUAUGCCGUCGAAUAUAUUAGCAUGGAAUAAUGAGAUAGGACUUUCUUGCUAUUUUGUUGGUUUGCGCAAAGAGGUAAUGAUUAAUAGGGACAGUUGGGGGUAUUCGUAUUCCAUUGUCAGAGGUGAAAUUCUUGGAUUUUUGGAGGACGAACUACUGCGAAAGCAUUUACCAAGGAUGUUUUCAUUAA
rnacentral:rRNA from 1 species